UACAGGGGGGGCAAGCGUUGUUCGGAAUUACUGGGCGUAAAGGGCUCGUAGGUGGCCAACUAAGUCAGACGUGAAAUCCCUCAGCUUAACUGGGGAACUGCGUCUGAUACUGGAUGGCUUGAGUUUGGGAGAGGGAUGCGGAAUUCCAGGUGUAGCGGUGAAAUGCGCAGAUAUCGGGAGGAACACCGGUGGCGAAGGCGGAUCUCUGGGCCUGUCCUGACGCUCAGGCGCGAAAGCUAGGGGAGCGAACAGG
rnacentral:rRNA from 1 species